rnacentral:rRNA from 1 species
UACGAAGGGUGCAAGCGUUAAUCGGAAUUACUGGGCGUAAAGCGUGCGUAGGCGGUUUCUUAAGUCCGUUGUGAAAGCCCUGGGCUCAACCUGGGAACUGCGAUGGAUACUGAGGAGCUGGAGUACGGUAGAGGAAGGUGGAAUUCCCGGUGUAGCGGUGAAAUGCGCAGAUAUCGGGAAGAACACCUAUGGCGAGGGCAGCUCUCUGGGACGGUACUGACGCUGAGACGCGAAAGCGUGGGGAGCGAACAGG